UACGUAGGGCGCAAGCGUUGUCCGGAAUUAUUGGGCGUAAAGAGCGUGUAGGCGGCCUUUUAAGUCCUGCGUGAAAUCCUGCGGCUCAACCGCAGACGGUCGUGGGAAACUGGAAGGCUAGAGUGCGGGAGAGGAGAGUGGAAUUCCUGGUGUAGCGGUGAAAUGCGCAGAUAUCAGGAAGAACACCCGUGGCGAAGGCGGCUCUCUGGAACGCAACUGACGCUGAGACGCGAAAGCGUGGGGAGCAAACAGG
rnacentral:rRNA from 1 species